rnacentral:rRNA from 1 species
UACGAAGGGGGCUAGCGUUGCUCGGAAUCACUGGGCGUAAAGGGUGCGUAGGCGGGUUUUUAAGGCAGGGGUGAAAUCCUGGAGCUCAACUCCAGAACUGCCUUUGAUACUGAAGAUCUUGAGUUCGGGAGAGGUGAGUGGAACUGCGAGUGUAGAGGUGAAAUUCGUAGAUAUUCGCAAGAACACCAGUGGCGAAGGCGGCUCACUGGCCCGAUACUGACGCUGAGGCACGAAAGCGUGGGGAGCAAACAGG